AAUCAACGCUGGCGGCGUGCCUAACACAUGCAAGUCGAACGAGAAAGCGGGGGCAACUCCGUGAGUAAAGUGGCGACCGGGUGAGUAACACGUGACUAACCUACCUUCGAGUGGGGGAUAACCUCGGGAAACCGGGGCUAAUACCGCAUAACAUCGUCGGGUGAAAUUCCUGACGAUCAAAGCAGCAAUGGGCUUGAAGAGGGGGUCGCGGCUGAUUAGCUAGGUGGUGAGGUAACGGCCACCAAGGCAGUGAUCAGUAUCCGGCCUGAGAGGGCGAACGGACACACUGGAACUGAAACACGGUCCAGACUCCUCCGGGAGGCAGCCGUGGGGAAUUUUGCGCAAUGGGGUAACCCCUGACGCAGCAACGCCGCGUGGAGGAUGAAGUCCCUUGGGACGUAAACUCCUUUCGACCGGGACGAUAAUGACGGUACCGGUGGAAGAAGCCCCGGCUAACUCCGUGCCAGCCGCCGCCGUAAUAC
rnacentral:rRNA from 1 species